rnacentral:lncRNA from 1 species
CGCGCCUGUGACUCCUCUAGAGUUUCAGAUCUCAAUAAUGUCUCAAACCACACUCAGAUUUGCCAACAAAGUCAGAGACCUCAACUUGAACCCCAAACAUUUCUUGUCCGCACCACAUUCAUUUUCUACUGGAUGACAACCAAUGACUCUAAUCUGUUUUUCUGUCUCCCGAGGAACUGUAAGGGAAACAUUAAAUCGAAAUAUAUGAGAACUCCAUUUAGAAGAAGUUCUGAGCAAUGUUUUUUUCCCCUGGUAAAUGAUAUCAGAACAUCUCUGUGCAGUAAAGUGAUUCAGGUCAUAAAUGUACCGACACUAAUAUCAGCUGAACUGGGUCGUGUGUCAGAAUAUCAGGAUCAAAGAGCAGAUGUUUUAUCAGUGUCUAAGAGUCAAAGGCAGAUGAAAAGAUAAAGAGAGAGAGGAUUAAAGGUGUGCGUCAACCUCUGAACCAAGUUAUUAUCUGAGUCUCCGCGUUAUUAAAUGCGACUCCGGAGUGCAUAAGAUCCUUGUUGUGUGAGGGUCAUCUCAUGAUGUUCAGGGUCUUGCUGCUCCUGUUUGCCGUGGCUGGUCUCCAUGCAAGACCACUGCACCGAUUCCCAAAUGGUAAAUUAAAACCAAUUGGGCCACAAAUGGUCCAAGAUGAACACAGGGAUAGCUCAGUUCUGAAGCACAUGAACACUGAUGUGAAACCCAAGAAGCAACUACCAGUUCCCGCUGAGUUCUGCAGACAGGGAACAGAACCUUCCAGACGCUUCCUGAUGGACCUGAACACUGGGAUGCUCAAGCGUGGAGUUGGCAAAGUGAACGGAAAAGUUUCAGGAUUGGAUGAGCUCAAACAAGGCACUGAGAACCAGCUGCACACCCUGCAAGAGCUCAGAAUGCGUCCCAUGAUGAGAUCGCAGUACAGCGCUCAGAGCGAAAAACACGAGCAGAGAGCGAUCCCUGCCGAGGUGUACAGAAAAGGCACUGAAAAUUCCAGAAAUGUCCUGAUGGACCUGAACACCGGUCUGCUCAAAGAACACAUGAACAAGAUGGACAGGAGAGUAGUGGCAGCUAAAUGGGAAGUGGUUUCUGAGCAUGAGGACAUAAGAAGCCAAGACUCUUCUGAACAUAAGGAGAACCACAAAGCAGUUCCUGUUGAGAUCCGCAGACAGGGAACAGAACCUUCCAGACGCAUCCUGAUUGACUUGAACACUGGGAUGCCCAAGGAGGAACUCAGCGAAAUGAACAGAAGAGUUUCUGGCUUCUACAAUCCAGCAGCUAUUGAGAAGAGGCAAGGAACAGAACCUUCCAGACGCUUCCUGAUGGACAUGGACACUGGGAUGCUCAAGCACGAAGUUAGCGAAAUGAACAGAAGAGUUUCCGGCUUCUACAAUCCUCCAGCUUAUGAGAUGAGGAAGGGAACACAGAAUUCUCGCGCUACUCUGGUGGAUCCCAGAACUGGACAACUGCUGGAAUCUCUAACAGAGCUAAAGAGGAGCGCAGCGCCAUUGGAUGAGUUCAGACAAGGCACUGAGUACCAGCCGUACAUCCUACAGAAGCUCAGACUGAACAAACAAGACACUGAACCUUCCAGAAACCUCCUGAUGGACCUGAACGCCGGCCUACUCGAACACCAAAAUAAGACGGACUCUUCUGAACAUAAGCAAGGAGGAACUCAGCGAAAUGAUACAGAAGAGUUUCCGGCUUCUACAAUCCAGCAGCUAUUGAGAAGAGGCAAGGAACAGAACCUUCCAGACGCUUCCUGA